CAGUGCCUGGUGCAUAGUAGGAUCUCAGUGAAGGUCUGUAGAAUGAAAACAAUAAUAUAACAGCCAUUGCAGAUCAAGUCCUGAUCACAUGCCAGGCACCUAGAAAGCCUUUCUUAGGCGUUAUCUCAUGUGAUCCUCCCAAUAACCCCAUGAGACAGUGAUCUUUAUUUUACAGAUGCUGAAACAGAGGUGCAGAGCCUUGUAGUAACUUCUCCCAUGCUACUGAUGAGUGGCAGAGGCAGGAGUGUGACUCCACACCUUGGAUUCCAGAGCACCACACUGUUCCCUGAGCUGACCGUGCAAGGCUUUGACCACCCAGCCUGGACCUUCAGCAGAUGGAAAGCUGUGCUUUAGGAUCCAUGGCAAAGCAAGGGUUAACGUACCUAAAAUAAGCUGCCCUGGAGGGCUCUUUGAAGACAGCAGGGUGUUAUUUAAUGAGGGAGCAUUUCCAGGAUCUGAAUUAUAGAAAUUAGCCAGCUGGGUUCAGGUCCAGUUACGAACUCAUGGCAAUUUCUUCAGGCUUGAAGAGAAUCAACAGCUUAACUAACAAGGAAAAACGGUGCCAUCGUAGCUCCGCACACCAGAUUCACCACAGAGGCAGGACUGACGGCAUCUUGAGUACAAUAAGAGGUCACCAGGAGACCACAUCUUUGUUCCUUUCUCCAAACUCAAGUGAGGAGGGAUCCAGUGCUGGAAAGAGAGAGGGAGGAGAAGGAAGACAAGGAGAGGAGACAAGGAGGAGGUGUGACCUGCUGUGUGGGGAGGAGAAGACAGAUAGGAGCUAAACUUAAUAGUGAAGAUUGCAAAGGAAAAACACCGAGUCUUGAGGACCAGAGUGAACUAUUUUAAGUCCAAAGGAGCUGGAAAAGAAGCACAGGCUCUGGCCAGGAGGUCAUUCAGGGAGCUGCCUCCUGGAGGAAGGGAGAGUUCAUCCUAGCAGAGUUGGGAAGGGCAGAUACUGGAAAAAAUAAAACUAUAGGAUUUCCUGUUCA
rnacentral:lncRNA from 1 species